GACGAACGCUGGCGGCGUGCUUAACACAUGCAAGUCGAACGGAAAGACCCUGCUUUUGUGGGGUGCUCGAGUGGCGAACGGGUGAGUAACACGUGAGUAACCUGCCCUUGACUUUGGGAUAACUUCAGGAAACUGGGGCUAAUACCGGAUAGGAGCUCCUGCUGCAUGGUGGGGGUUGGAAAGUUUCGGCGGUUGGGGAUGGACUCGCGGCUUAUCAGCUUGUUGGUGGGGUAGUGGCUUACAAAGGCUUUGACGGGUAGCCGGCCUGAGAGGGUGACCGGCCACAUUGGGACUGAGAUACGGCCCAGACUCCUACGGGAGGCAGCAGUGGGGAAUAUUGCACAAUGGGCGGAAGCCUGAUGCAGCAACGCCGCGUGCGGGAUGACGGCCUUCGGGUUGUAAACCGCUUUCGCCUGUGACGAAGCGUGAGUGACGGUAAUGGGUAAAGAAGCACCGGCUAACUACGUG
rnacentral:rRNA from 1 species